GACGAACGCUGGCGGCGUGCUUAACACAUGCAAGUCGAGCGAUGAAGCACCUUCGGGUGUGAAUUAGCGGCGAACGGGUGAGGAACACGUGAAGAAUCUGCCUUCAACUCUGGGAUAACUCCGGGAAACCGGGGCUAAUACCGGAUAUGAGCCUUGAUCGCAUGAUCGGGGCUGGAAAGUUUUUCGGUUGAAGAUGACUUCGCGGCCUAUCAGCUUGUUGGUGAGGUAAUGGCUCACCAAGGCGACGACGGGUAGCCGGCCUGAGAGGGCGACCGGCCACACUGGGACUGAGACACGGCCCAGACUCCUACGGGAGGCAGCAGUGGGGAAUAUUGGGCAAUGGAGGAAACUCUGACCCAGCGACGCCGCGUGAGGGAUGAAGGCCU
rnacentral:rRNA from 1 species